GAGGGUAUAGCUCAAGUGGUAGAGUGCAUGCUUAGCAUACGUGAGGUCCUAGGUUCAAUCCCCAGUACCCCCA
rfam:Camelus ferus unplaced genomic scaffold scaffold313, whole genome shotgun sequence.